rnacentral:rRNA from 1 species
AGAGUUUGAUCAUGGCUCAGAUUGAACGCUGGCGGCAGGCCUAACACAUGCAAGUCGAACGGUAACAGGAAGCAGCUUGCUGCUUUGCCGACGAGUGGCGGACGGGUGAGUAAUGUCUGGGAAACUGCCUGAUGGAGGGGGAUAACUACUGGAAACGGUAGCUAAUACCGCAUAACGUCGCAAGACCAAAGAGGGGGACCUUCGGGCCUCUUGCCAUCGGAUGUGCCCAGAUGGGAUUAGCUAGUAGGUGGGGUAAAGGCUCACCUAGGCGACGAUCCCUAGCUGGUCUGAGAGGAUGACCAGCCACACUGGAACUGAGACACGGUCCAGACUCCUACGGGAGGCAGCAGUGGGGAUAUUGCACAAUGGGCGCAAGCCUGAUGCAGCCAUGCCGCGUGUAUGAAGAAGGCCUUCGGGUUGUAAAGUACUUUCAGCGGGGAGGAAGGGAGUAAAGUUAAUACCUUUGCUCAUUGACGUUACCCGCAGAAGAAGCACCGGCUAACUCCGUGCCAGCAGCCGCGGUAAUACGGAGGGUGCAAGCGUUAAUCGGAAUUACUGGGCGUAAAGCGCACGCAGGCGGUUUGUUAAGUCAGAUGUGAAAUCCCCGGGCUCAACCUGGGAACUGCAUCUGAUACUGGCAAGCUUGAGUCUCGUAGAGGGGGGUAGAAUUCCAGGUGUAGCGGUGAAAUGCGUAGAGAUCUGGAGGAAUACCGGUGGCGAAGGCGGCCCCCUGGACGAAGACUGACGCUCAGGUGCGAAAGCGUGGGGGAGCAAACAGGAUUAGAUACCCUG